UACGAAGGGGGCUAGCGUUGUUCGGAAUCACUGGGCGUAAAGCGCAUGCAGGCGGAUCGCUAAGUCGGGGGUGAAAGCCCGAGGCUCAACCUCGGAACUGCCUUCGAUACUGACGAUCUUGAGUCCGGGAGAGGUGAGUGGAACUGCGAGUGUAGAGGUGAAAUUCGUAGAUAUUCGCAAGAACACCAGUGGCGAAGGCGGCUCACUGGCCCGGUACUGACGCUGAGAUGCGAAAGCGUGGGGAGCAAACAGGAUUAGAAACCCCGGUAGUCC
rnacentral:rRNA from 1 species